CAAUAGAUACCCGGGUAGUCCACGCCGUAAACGAUGGAUGCUAGCCGUUGGGGAGCUUGCUCUUCGGUGGCGCAGUCAACACUUUAAGCAUCCCGCCUGGGGAGUACGGUCGCAAGAUUAAAACUCAAAGGAAUUGACGGGGACCCGCACAAGCGGUGGAUGAUGUGGAUUAAUUCGAUGCAACGCGAAAAACCUUACCUACCCUUGACAUGGUCGGAAUCCUGGAGAGAUCUGGGAGUGCUCGAAAGAGAACCGGCGCACAGGUGCUGCAUGGCUGUCGUCAGCUCGUGUCGUGAGAUGUUGGGUUAAGUCCCGCAACGAGCGCAACCCUUGUCAUUAGUUGCCAGCAUUGAGUUGGGGCACUCUAGGGGGACUGCCGGUGAUAAGCCGCGAGGAAGGUGGGGAUGACGUCAAGUCCUCAUGGCCCUUACGGGGCUGGGCUACACACGGUGCUACAAUGGCGGUGACAAAGGGCAGCGACCCCGCGAGGGCAAGCUAAUCCCAAAAAGCCGUCUCAGUU
rnacentral:rRNA from 1 species